UCCGGUGACCAUACUGGAGAGGAUACACCCGUUCCCAUCCUACCCCUCCGGGGCAUACCCCUACGGGGCACAGGCAUGCGAACACGGAAAGUUAAGCUCUCUAAGGCCGAUGGUACUUGGGCUUAUGCCCUGCUGUGUGCCCCGCCGUGUGCCCCGUAGGGGUAGAGGGGUAGGAGAGUAGGUAGUUGCCGGAA
rnacentral:rRNA from 1 species